AUUAGAAAGAACACCAAAUGCGAAGGAACCUUACUGGGUCACUACUGACACUGAGGAGCGAAAGCUUGAGUAGCGAAGAGGAUUAGAUACCCUCGUAGUCCAUGCCGUAAACGAUGUGUGCUAGACGUUGGAAAUAUAUUUUUCAGUGUCGCAGCGUACGCAUUAAGCACCC
rnacentral:rRNA from 1 species